AGAUUAGCUUGCUUUAGUUGUCAGCUAAGUGGCGCACGGGUGAGUAAUGUAUAGAUAACCUGCCCUUAAGAAAGGAAUAACAGUUGGAAACGACUGCUAAUGCCCUAUAUGCCUUUAAUACAUAAGUAUGCAAGGGAAACGCUUUAGUGCUUAAGGAUGGGUCUGUAUGGUAUCAGCUUGUUGGUGAGGUAAUGGCUCACCAAGGCUAUGACGCCUAACUGGUUUGAGAGGAUGAUCAGUCACACUGGAACUGAGACACGGUCCAGACUCCUACGGGAGGCAGCAGUGGGGAAUAUUGCACAAUGGACGAAAGUCUGAUGCAGCAACGCCGCGUGGAGGAUGACACAUUUCGGUGCGUAAACUCCUUUUAUAUAGGAAGAUAAUGACGGUACUAUAUGAAUAAGCACCGGCUAACUCCGUGCCAGCAGCCGCGGUAAUACGGAGGGUGCAAGCGUUACUCGGAAUCACUGGGCGUAAAGAGCGUGUAGGUGGGUAUAUAAGUCAGAAGUGAAAUCCUAUAGCUUAACUAUAGAACUGCUUUUGAAACUGUAUACCUAGAAUGUGGGAGAGGUAGAUGGAAUUUCUGGUGUAGGGG
rnacentral:rRNA from 1 species